rnacentral:rRNA from 1 species
GAUGAACGCUAGCGGCAGGCUUAAUACAUGCAAGUCGAGGGGCAUCAAGGUACACGAAAGUGUAUUGUUGGCGACCGGCGGACGGGUGAGUAAUAGGUAGGUAACCUACCUCAUACUGAGGCAUAGCUGGGAGAAAUUCCAGGUAAUUCCUCAUGAGGUUAUAUGACACAUGUGAUAUAAUCAAAGGUAUCGCGAGGUACUGGUAUGAGAUGGGCUUACUGACCAUUAGCUAGUUGGUGAGAUAAGAGCUCACCAAGGCGAAGAUGGUUAGGGGUUUUGAGAGAGAGAUCCCCCACAUUGGAACUGAGAUACGGUCCAGACUCCUACGGGAGGCAGCAGUAGGGAAUAUUGGGCAAUGGGCGGAAGCCUGACCCAGCCAUGCCGCGUGAAGGAAGACGGCCUUAUGGGUUGUAAACUUCUUUACUAUGCGACUAACUAGAUUUACGAGAUAAUUCUAUAGAAUGUAGCAUAGCAAAAGCACCGGCUAA